AGGUAUUCAGUACAGCCGAUGGAAUGAAAGCAAUCAGGACAGUGUCAGUAUCACAGUCUCUGGUACAGAAAGGACUGUGCAACAAAGGUUAUGAGGACCAUACUUGUAAUAGUGCCCUGUGUGUCGAGUGGAUGCACAGGAUGGAGGAGCAGCUCAGGGAGAGAAAGUCUACGACAAGCUGUGCACUGGCCGACUUGGGAUUGCAAUGAAACUUGUUGCCGGGAUGGUUCUGUUUUGGAU